rnacentral:lncRNA from 1 species
AUGCCUGGACCAUUUGUGGACUAUGGAGCCUGGGCCCAUUGGGCAGGCGCAGUCAGCUGUGAGUGACAGCGGCCCGGUACCUACGGGUAGGGCAGAGUUCUGGUCAGGACGGUAGUCCGAGCUUAGACCCGAGAGCGUGGAAUGCCACGUGAUAGAUUGUGUGACCGAUGGUACGCCGAGUAUGGUUGUGGCCCAACCCGAGGACUUGACGUGGUUU